rnacentral:rRNA from 1 species
GACGAACGCUGGCGGCGUGCUUAACACAUGCAAGUCGAACGGAAAGGCAUGCUUUCCCUUGUGGAUUGAGGGUACUCGAGUGGCGAACGGGUGAGUAACACGUGAGUGAUCUGCCCCCAACUUGGGUAUAAGCCUGGGAAACUGGGUCUAAUUCCCGAUAGGACUGCAGGGUGGUGCCUGUGGUGGAAAACGAUUUUCUAGUGGUUGGGGAUGAGCUCGCGGCCUAUCAGCUUGUUGGUGGGGUAAUGGCCUACCAAGGCGGCGACGGGUAGCCGGCCUGGGAGGGUGGGCGGCCACAGUGGUACUGAGAUACGGCCCAGACUCCUACGGGAGGCAGCAGUGGGUGAUAGUGGACAAUGGGCGUAGACCUGAAGCAGCGGCACAGCGUGGGGGAUGACGGCCUUCGGGUUGUUAACUCCUUUCGUCCGCGAUGAGGCCACCUGAUUGGUAGGGUGGGGGCGGUAGUGGUAGAGUAAGCGCGGGCUAACUACGUG